rfam:Danio rerio chromosome 4, GRCz11 reference primary assembly.
GUAUUGGUGGUUCAGUGGUAGAAUUCUUGCCUACCAUGUGGGACACAUGAGUUCGAUUCCCGUCUAGUGCA